AGACUCCAGGGGAGAGAGAGAAACUCCCUUCUCUUUCCGGAAUGUGCCAUAGGAUAUUUAACCUUCACCUGAACAGACAGACGGGAUCUGGGUUUAACAUCUCAUCCGAAUGACUUGGUUCAUUUGAAAAUACAGCUAGCGAGGAAUGAAAGUGAGAAGACUGGUUUCACAUGUCACCAGAGGUGGGAAAACCUAUAGCUGAAACCGAGAGAGCAAUCACCAGGCAAGAAAGCCGAGUUUUAACUACUUUCGCUCUGUGGGAUUUUUCUGUGUGCCUCUAAAUUUUACCUUAACAUUUUUUCGGUCUUGGUGGUGGGGAGGGGGAGGAGAGCCACAGGGUUCGCUAUUUCUCGGAACGCAGUGUCUUCGUAACCAGUGAAUGGGCUUUGGAACAAACCUCGCAAUCUCUGCUCAGUUUUGUUCUUCAAAGAGGAGUACUUGGCAACUGCUUAUUGGCUGCUCCUUGUAAGUGCCGUCACAAGUGUGUGUGUGUGUGUGUGUGUGUGAGCGCGCUCUGCAUUUGGCAAACAAGCAACUGAGGCUGAGAUCCCAUUUGUUAUAGCGUCAGCCACAGUACUAACAUGGGUCGAGAUUCUUAAAGUCCCCCCCACCCCCUUUCGAUUAAUCCCUUGAUUUGUUUGAAAUCUUAUCCGUGGGAUUUAAAUCAUGGAGCAAGUCAGUCCCUGUUUAUAAUGUUAACCCAGCAGCGACUGCCAAAAGGAGAGUAAAAUAAGCUUCGGUUCUCUUGCACCAAACUUUGUUCUGAAGAGAACAGGGAGAUCUGUUGACCGUCAACAAGCUUGGGUUUUCUCCACGUUGUGUACAUGCAGCGAAAAAUACUUUCCUUGUAUUCUGUUCUGAAACUUGGUCGGUUUUGUUAAGCUGUUGAACGAACAUUGCGAAAAGCCUGGGCAGAGACACAAGUGUGUCACCUUGUGGUGGUUUGGCAUAGCGGCAGAUUUUCACACUUGACCGCAGUGGAUGCAUUGAAAGAGUUGUAAUAGUUUCAUCAGGUUUAUUCAUUGAUUUGGACUUGCAUCUCGUGUGGUUCACCUUCAUCUCUGCACAUUUGGCAACGGUACAAGAAAAGGCUCUUCUUUAGCAGGACCUCUCAAUGUCCUUCACAGGCUAUAGUGUAAGGUCGAGACUGUGUAUUGGGAAUGCUGGAAAGCAUGUAUUAUUUUAAAAAAACACACACAGUUGAGGCUUUUGACCUCAUGCAGGUUAUUGAAACGUUCUAGAUUACCUGAGCACAUUUGCAACUGAUUUACUAGGUUAUUUUCUAUAAUGUGUGAUUAAAACAGUGGGAAUUUGGGUUGCCAUGAAGCCAAUCUAUCCUCAUCUUCUUUCGUGGUGAUAUUGUUGUCGAUAGUUGACCCAGCUCCAAGUGUUGGCCCUUCACCUCCUUCAGAAUAAUCAAUGAAAUGGUGAUUGACAUUGCGUAUUUGAUGAUAAUAAAGCUUUACAUGUGAUUCAGUGCCUUAACGUGUCAGCAGGAUGUCUCAAAGAGCUGUCAGAUAUGUCGGUGCUGCAAGGGGUAACCCACUAGGUCACAGGGAGGCCACACAGAUAGUUGACCAGAUGGAUCAUAUCACAAUAAUAAUAAUCCUUGCAUUUGAUAUAGCGCCUUAUCACAUCUUCGAGACGUCUCAAAGCACUUCACAGAAAACACUGUAAACUGAAUCGACUGUAUAUUUCCUGGGCGAACACGGCAGCCAAUUAAUUGCACACAGCAGUGUCCCAUAAAUAGUCGUAGAUUGAGUGACCAUAUUUUUUUAAUUGAUUAUCAAUGGGCGAAGCAUGCAGUCAGGAGUGAGAGGAACGAAGAAAAGAUGAGCUACAUGUAGCCUUGGGACACACUCAUGCAAAGCCGACCAGAGGAAUGUGUGCUAGUUAAUAA